GCCACUUGCAUCACUUCAGGCCAAGACGGGCAUCGCAGAAAAUGUGCUUCACACUUGUCAUUUUCCUCUUCGCAGUUGACCGUGAAAAUUUCCCGAGGCUGCCACACGCACAGCAGCAACAUCAGGCACACAACAGCAACAUCAAGCACACACCAGCAACACCAACUACAGCCCGCCCAAAAUAGCCCAAGUUCAAUGUAAACGCACUUGCGUGUAUCUGUCAUGGCCAAAACAUAACUGGCUCUAAUCUGCAGAGGAGGAGGAGGAGGGGGGUUUGGGACAGGGGACUUGUGUCUCCGGUUGUUGCGUCUGCGGGAGAAGGCCAACUUGGGCGGGUUGGUAGGGGCAGGAAUGUGCGCAAACUCACUGGGCAAUUUGUUUGCCCAUCACGUCGGCCCACGAACGCGAAACGAAAUGAAAAUGAAUUUCUUCAUAUUUUUAGCAAGCUUCGCAAUGGUUUUUCUGUUUACUUCUUUUCGCUUUUUGUAUAGCAAAUUCUGGGUUAUGCUAAUCUCGGCUUGCAAUUGUCUGGCAUAACAAUGGCCAGCUAGACGGGCCAGCGAUAAAGCACCAGAAGGCAGCACAGACCCAACCUCAUUCGUAGCCACAUCCACAUCCACAUCCACAUCUGCGUCCACAUCCCACAUAGAACCGCACUCGGGACUGGUCUGGAGUUCCGCUUUUGUGUAAUUGGCUGGAAGGUCGGUAUAGAUCAGACGGAAGAGUUUGAACACCAUUUGACAUGAUGUAAAUAACGUAUGAAACUCAUAAGUCAGGAAGUAGUUAUUGGAAGUCAAUUGGAAAAUUGCCUCAAACGAAGUGAAAGCUAAGGAAAAUAAAAUUAAAUAUUUAAAUUAUUUUCCCGUACUUUAAUUAAAUCAAAACCAUUAUUUACAGUGAC